GGGGAUGUUCUGGUUUUGACAGCACCGAUUCCGGACGGUAAGCACGCAGGGCGCCUGGAAGUGGGCCCUCUAAUCUCGGCUUCCAAAAAUCAGUUGCCAACAACAACUAUGCACUCGCUGCCUAAUUGACUAGGUCACUUAGCUUAAUCUGCUCCGCCAAGGCUGCGGAGAGACGAGUAUCCCUCGGACUUUAAGCCGGUUAUGGCCGAUCAAGGGGUAUCAUUCAAACCGGAUGCACCGGCGGACUCCGUUAAAGCCGGCCAAGAUUAACGGAUAAGCCCCGGGUGGCCUGCCUUUCGGCAGCCCGGAGUCGAAAACCAAAGGAAGGAUAAGCGUGUAGAAAGCUUUCUGGUACGUUGUUUGGACGGCGGUUCGAGUCCGCCCAUCUCCAC
rnacentral:tmRNA from 1 species